UGCCUUUCGACUUUACUAUGAAAGGUUCAUCCUGCCCAAUGACUCUUAGUUCAAUGGCCGCGGUAUCUUGACCGUGCAAAGGUAGCAUAAUCACUUGCCCCUUAAUUAGGGGCUGGCAUGAAAGGACACACGAAAGCUUCCCUGUCUCACAAUAAUAAAUAAAAAUUAAUCUUUAAGUGAAAAAGCUUAAAUAAAAUUGCAGGACAAGAAGACCCCGUUGAGCUUUAUUCUCUAUAGACCAAUCUAAAUAUUUAUUAUAUCAUAAACCUAAAAAAGAAUUUAGUUGGGGUGACUAAGGAACAUCAUAAACUUCCUCUAUCUAUUUAGGGCUAUUCCCCAAAAAAAUUGACCCACAAACCGUGAUCAAAAAAAUAAGCUACCACAGGGAUAACAGGCUAAUCUUUCUUAAGAGCCCAAAUUGUCAGAAAGGAUUGGCACCUCGAUGUUGGCUUAGGGGCCCCUAAUGGUGCAGAAGCCAUAAAAGGUAGGUUUGUUCAACCUUUAAAACCCU
rnacentral:rRNA from 1 species